GUUUGAUCUAUCCUCAGUAAGCUCGGGCUAAGUUCGUGCCAGCAGCCGCGGUAAGACGAACCGAGCGAACGUUGUUCGGAAUCACUGGGCUUAAAGGGCGCGUAGGCGGGCUGUCAAGUCUGGGGUGAAAUCCCGCGGCUCAACCGUGGAACUGCCUCAGAUACUGACGGCCUCGAGGGAGAUAGGGGCGAGCGGAACUAAUGGUGGAGCGGUGAAAUGCGUUGAUAUCAUUAGGAACUCCGGUGGCGAAGGCGGCUCGCUGGAUCUUUUCUGACGCUGAGGCGCGAAAGCUAGGGGAGCAAACGGGAUUAGAUACCCCGGUAGUCCUAGCCCUAAACGUU
rnacentral:rRNA from 1 species